CAUGAGAGUUUUACUUGUAAAGAGGGUUUUUGGUGGCAUUGCGGGCGAGACAGGUAUGUUUUUCUCGUUCUCUCUUCUUCCUGUGAGAAUGCUGGUGAAAUGCGUCCCGAGCCAAAGAUUCCUAGCUUUCCUGAAGAGCCCAAGAGUCCCCAUUUGCUGCUCCACGAAUCGAAGAGGAACCAGAUACGCUGGAGAAGAUUCAUUUGAGCGCUUUGCUUCUGGUGUUACCCGGCUUCUAGCGGAGGCAGUCAGGUGAAACGAUUUGUUGAGGACGACUGGAAGUUGAGCGGCUUUUUCUUUACGGAGACGAGGCAGCUGAGAAGCAUCGAGCUGUAAAAGACAGGGCCCCGUCAGAAGGCUCAAUUGCAAACUUCCGAGUCUUCACCAUGGGUUCUUCAUUGGCAUUUGUAUGGAAAAGUCCGGGUUUACAAGAAACGAUCAGACUUGUCUUUGUCUUGUCUCGAGAGUCUGGCGUCUAAAGGAAUUGAAUUUAGAAAAGAAGGAAGGCGGGCCUAUACACUCAGAAGCUAGGCUCGUGCGAUAACACGGGCUAUAAAAAAAAAUAUCGGAACUCACUAUGUUCGACAUUUGGAUCUUGAUGCUCCAACUCCAGGUUGCAUCCCGAAGAUCAGAAACUGGAACAUAAUCUUUGAGAGAUGUGCGGAAUCUCAUCCGAGCUGGAAGAAACGCAGAGGCGCAGGACCUGUGUCCAACAGGGAUUGCUCUUCGUUGCUCAGAGGAGAGAAGCCAACUUCAAAACAAGAUAAAGCACUCGCACUGCUCAAAUCCAAGCUCCUGGCGUGGAGAGCUGGCUGCAUGACUGCUCAUUCAACGAGCGCGCUUUAGACGCUACAGAGCUUGAUGGAGGAAGGAGGAUAUGGAAGUGGGCUUGCUUUUGUGCUUCCGAGGUAUGGACUUGAACUUGUGUUUGUGUUUCCAAACAAGGUGUUCCAGAAAAUAGCGUUGAGUGAGUCCCGUUAAGAAAGGGGAUGCCCGAGAAAAGCUGCUAGAAGCUGUCAACGAGUUCCCUCCAAC